rnacentral:rRNA from 1 species
UUUUAUUUGAGAGUUUGAUCCUGGCUCAGGAUGAACGCUGGCGGCGUGCCUAACACAUGCAAGUUGAGCGAUUUACUUCGGUAAAGAGCGGCGGACGGGUGAGUAACGCGUGGGUAACCUACCCUGUACACACGGAUAACAUACCGAAAGGUAUGCUAAUACGGGAUAAUAUAUUUGAGAGGCAUCUCUUGAAUAUCAAAGGUGAGCCAGUACAGGAUGGACCCGCGUCUGAUUAGCUAGUUGGUAAGGUAACGGCUUACCAAGGCGACGAUCAGUAGCCGACCUGAGAGGGUGA